rnacentral:misc_RNA from 1 species
UGGUUCUGGCAUCGAUGAAGAACGCAGCGAAAUGCGAUAAGUAAUGUGAAUUGCAGAAUUCAGUGAAUCAUCGAAUCUUUGAACGCACAUUGCGCCCUUUGGUAUUCCGAGGGGCAUGUCUGUUCGAGCGUCAUUACACCAAUCAAGCAUGGCUUGGCAUUGGACGACGACUUUCGUCACGUCUCAAACUUCUGUCAGCUAGAAAGAAAGACCUAGCGUUGUGAAACAAAAUCGCUAGCUGCAUCUGACUGUUCUACGCUAUGGAAAUUCAUCUCAAGGUUGACCUCGGAUCAGAUAGGGAUACCCGCUGA